CCCUUAGAUGUUCUGGGCCGCACGCGCGCUACACUGAUGCACUCAACGAGUCUCACCUUGACCGAAAGGUCCGGGAAACCUUCGAACUUGCAUCGUGAUGGGGAUAGAUUAUUGCAACUAUUAAUCUUCAACGAGGAAUACCUAGUAGGCGCAUGUCAUCAGCGUGCGUCGAUUACGUCCCUGCCCUUUGUACACACCGCCCGUCGCUCCUACCGAUUGAAUGAUCCGGUGAGGCCCCCGGAAUGUGGCAACGGCUUCGGUUCGCCGAACUGAUGCUGCGUGAAGCUGUCCAAACCUUAUCAUUUAGAGGAAGGAGAAGUCGUAACA
rnacentral:rRNA from 1 species